GGGUUGUGAGGUUAAGCGACUAAGCGUACACGGUGGAUGCCCUGGCAGUCAGAGGCGAUGAAGGACGUGCUAAUCUGCGAUAAGCGUCGGUAAGGUGAUAUGAACCGUUAUAACCGGCGAUUUCCGAAUGGGGAAACCCAGUGUGUUUCGACACACUAUCAUUAACUGAAUCCAUAGGUUAAUGAGGCGAACCGGGGGAACUGAAACAUCUAAGUACCCCGAGGAAAAGAAAUCAACCGAGAUUCCCCCAGUAGCGGCGAGCGAACGGGGAGCAGCCCAGAGCCUGAAUCAGUGUGUGUGUUAGUGGAAGCGUCUGGAAAGGCGCGCGAUACAGGGUGACAGCCCCGUACACAAAAAUGCACAUACUGUGAGCUCGAUGAGUAGGGCGGGACACGUGGUAUCCUGUCUGAAUAUGGGGGGACCAUCCUCCAAGGCUAAAUACUCCUGACUGACCGAUAGUGAACCAGUACCGUGAGGGAAAGGCGAAAAGAACCCCGGCGAGGGGAGUGAAAAAGAACCUGAAACCGUGUACGUACAAGCAGUGGGAGCCUCUUUUAUGGGGUGACUGCGUACCUUUUGUAUAAUGGGUCAGCGACUUAUAUUCUGUAGCAAGGUUAACCGAAUAGGGGAGCCGAAGGGAAACCGAGUCUUAACCGGGCGUUAAGUUGCAGGGUAUAGACCCGAAACCCGGUGAUCUAGCCAUGGGCAGGUUGAAGGUUGGGUAACACUAACUGGAGGACCGAACCGACUAAUGUUGAAAAAUUAGCGGAUGACUUGUGGCUGGGGGUGAAAGGCCAAUCAAACCGGGAGAUAGCUGGUUCUCCCCGAAAGCUAUUUAGGUAGCGCCUCGUGAAUUCAUCUCCGGGGGUAGAGCACUGUUUCGGCAAGGGGGUCAUCCCGACUUACCAACCCGAUGCAAACUGCGAAUACCGGAGAAUGUUAUCACGGGAGACACACGGCGGGUGCUAACGUCCGUCGUGAAGAGGGAAACAACCCAGACCGCCAGCUAAGGUCCCAAAGUCAUGGUUAAGUGGGAAACGAUGUGGGAAGGCCCAGACAGCCAGGAUGUUGGCUUAGAAGCAGCCAUCAUUUAAAGAAAGCGUAAUAGCUCACUGGUCGAGUCGGCCUGCGCGGAAGAUGUAACGGGGCUAAACCAUGCACCGAAGCUGCGGCAGCGACACUGUGUGUUGUUGGGUAGGGGAGCGUUCUGUAAGCCUGUGAAGGUGUACUGUGAGGCAUGCUGGAGGUAUCAGAAGUGCGAAUGCUGACAUAAGUAACGAUAAAGCGGGUGAAAAGCCCGCUCGCCGGAAGACCAAGGGUUCCUGUCCAACGUUAAUCGGGGCAGGGUGAGUCGACCCCUAAGGCGAGGCCGAAAGGCGUAGUCGAUGGGAAACAGGUUAAUAUUCCUGUACUUGGUGUUACUGCGAAGGGGGGACGGAGAAGGCUAUGUUGGCCGGGCGACGGUUGUCCCGGUUUAAGCGUGUAGGCUGGUUUUCCAGGCAAAUCCGGAAAAUCAAGGCUGAGGCGUGAUGACGAGGCACUACGGUGCUGAAGCAACAAAUGCCCUGCUUCCAGGAAAAGCCUCUAAGCAUCAGGUAACAUCAAAUCGUACCCCAAACCGACACAGGUGGUCAGGUAGAGAAUACCAAGGCGCUUGAGAGAACUCGGGUGAAGGAACUAGGCAAAAUGGUGCCGUAACUUCGGGAGAAGGCACGCUGAUAUGUAGGUGAAGUCCCUCGCGGAUGGAGCUGAAAUCAGUCGAAGAUACCAGCUGGCUGCAACUGUUUAUUAAAAACACAGCACUGUGCAAACACGAAAGUGGACGUAUACGGUGUGACGCCUGCCCGGUGCCGGAAGGUUAAUUGAUGGGGUCAGCGCAAGCGAAGCUCUUGAUCGAAGCCCCGGUAAACGGCGGCCGUAACUAUAACGGUCCUAAGGUAGCGAAAUUCCUUGUCGGGUAAGUUCCGACCUGCACGAAUGGCGUAAUGAUGGCCAGGCUGUCUCCACCCGAGACUCAGUGAAAUUGAACUCGCUGUGAAGAUGCAGUGUACCCGCGGCAAGACGGAAAGACCCCGUGAACCUUUACUAUAGCUUGACACUGAACAUUGAGCCUUGAUGUGUAGGAUAGGUGGGAGGCUUUGAAGUGUGGACGCCAGUCUGCAUGGAGCCGACCUUGAAAUACCACCCUUUAAUGUUUGAUGUUCUAACGUGGACCCGUGAUCCGGGUUGCGGACAGUGUCUGGUGGGUAGUUUGACUGGGGCGGUCUCCUCCUAAAGAGUAACGGAG
rnacentral:rRNA from 1 species